rnacentral:snoRNA from 1 species
AAGACUAUACUUUCAGGGAUCAUUUCUAUAGUGCUGUACUUGAGAAAUGUGUGCUAAAGUGGUAGAUCUCGCUAUCCAUGAUGACGAUUAAAGAAUUCCCGUCAGAGCAUGAACUUGGUGUUAGAAGUGACUUUGCUCAUUUUUCUUCCACCUUUGAUGACUGUUCCUUGUUCUUCAAUGAACGUGGAUGAAGGGAAUAUGUUCUGAGUGGA